GAUGAACGCUAGCUACAGGCUUAACACAUGCAAGUCGAGGGGAAACGACAUCGAAAGCUUGCUUUUGAUGGGCGUCGACCGGCGCACGGGUGAGUAACGAGUAUCCAACCUGCCCACCACUUGGGGAUAACCUUGCGAAAGUAAGACUAAUACCCAAUGAUAUCUCUAGAAGACAUCUGAAAGAGAUUAAAGAUUUAUCGGUGAUGGAUGGGGAUGCGUCUGAUUAGCUUGUUGGCGGGGUAACGGCCCACCAAGGCUACGAUCAGUAGGGGUUCUGAGAGGAAGGUCCCCCACAUUGGAACUGAGACACGGUCCAAACUCCUACGGGAGGCAGCAGUGAGGAAUAUUGGUCAAUGGACGAGAGUCUGAACCAGCCAAGUAGCGUGCAGGAUGACGGCCCUAUGGGUUGUAAACUGCUUUUAUAAGGGAAUAAAGUGAGUCUCGUGAGACUUUUUGCAUGUACCUUAUGAAUAAGGACCGGCUAAUUCCGUGCCAGCAGCCGCAGUAA
rnacentral:rRNA from 1 species